AUUCAUCCCCGAGGAAGGCGGUCGCCAAAUUCACCGAAGCACUCACUGCUUUUUUAAAAAGAAAACUUUCUUCCAAGUCUGAACGUGGGGAAAAAGUGCAUAGACAACGCGUUCAAAAAACGAGCGAGUAUAUUUCGGUAAAAGAGAAAGACUAAUGGGAAAGAACUGAAUCGGAAAUAUUCCUCUUCGGUACCAAGAAAAGACAAGAUUUUAAUAAAUUAAUUUUUAGUGUAUUCCACAAAUCCGUGUGAUUGAUCAAAAUUCUAAGUUUAUUUUUUAAUUAAACCAGCAUAAGUGAGCAAAUUUGCGAGUUUAAAGCCGACCAAUAUACAGACGUACAUAUUGCUGAGACUAAAGAAAAUCCUUUGAUGCGUUCAUUGUGUAAUUUGUGGACUUCAUGUGCUUCUAUAGAGAAUUUUGUGUACGAAACAUAAAUAAUACGUACAUAUCCAUGGGUCUGGUACGAUACGUCGAAAUUUAAAUUGUCGAAACUAAAAACACCGAAAAAAAAAUGUCGAAAAAAAAUUGUUAGAAAAUCAAGAAUGUCGA